ACAGCUGAGCUUUGCUAGGUUACCCGCCGAAUUUAAGCAUAUAAUUAAGCGGGGGAAAAGAAACUAACUAGGAUUCCCCUAGUAGCGGCGAGCGAACAGGGAAAAGCUCAAUCUGAUAACUCACUCCGGUGAGGUUGUAGAUUUGCGAAGUGAUACCUGCUUAUGUAAUCGGUAAGUCCUUUGGAAAAAGGCUGCCAUGGAGGGUGAAAGUCCCGUUCCGUGACGCAUAUUGCAUUCGGUUCACUUUCGAAGAGUCGUGCUCUUUGUGAUUGGAGUACAAAUUGGGUGGUAAAUUUCAUCCAAAGCUAAAUAUAUGCGAGAGAUCGAUAGAAAACAAGUACUGUGAGGGAAAUGUGAAAAGAACUUUGGCAAGAGAGUUAAAAGUCCCCGAAAUUGUUAGGGUGGAAUCAAGUAAAUGUCAGUUUAACUGUUGUUUCUACAGUUUUGUCAUAGUGUUUUUUCUACCGCUUGAGUUCUGGUUUCGUUGGUUCCAUGCGUGGUAAUCAAGUCUGCAGUUCUUUUGUAGCAUUGAUCUCAUUAUGAUUUCUGACAUGACGUUGACCC
rnacentral:rRNA from 1 species